UUAGCUGGUUUUCUGCGAAUCUGUUUUAGCAAAUUAUUUAUUUUAUUAUUAGUAGGUAUAGCACUGAAUAUUUUUUUUUCCAUAAAGGGAGUAUUAAUUUACUUAUCCAGAAAAUUUAAUCCCCAAAAGGGUAAAAAGUUAGGGAAAUAAACCGACUUUUUGCGAUAAGGGAUAAAGUCUAAAGGGAAACAGCCCCGAACAGUAAAAAAAAAAUAAGGGGCCCCCAUUUUUAUUUAGGGGAAAAUUCCAAAAGGUUUUUUUUUUGCAAACCCUAAAUGGGGGUGGGAAAACCCCCCCCCCCGGGGGUUUUGGGGGACCCUCCCCAAAAAAAAGAGGGGUAUUUGGCCCGAGCUCCCGCGGGUCCAGGGCACGGGACAAUCAACAAGGCCCGUNACGUGGCGGNAGGGGGGUAACGGAAACAAAGGACGGCGCGCACAACNAAGGGGCAAACCAGCCNCCCCGGGAGGGAUGGGGACAAAGAGAGGGACGACCCCGGGGGGCUAAGAAGAGAGGGGGGGGGACGCAGCCCACGGGCAGCGUAGGGAGGGGGGCGACGCGGAGGGCUGCGGCGCAAAAGGCGAGAACGGGGGAGAGGCGCGCCGGGGGGCACACACACAACAGGGGCGGCGGAGGAGUGCGGGCGCCGGCGGGAUGAGACACAGGGCCAAGAUCGGAUGAGGGAGGAGGGAAGGACGAGAGAGGAGGGCAGCACGAAGAUAUAACGACGCAGGUGAAGGAGCAGGGGGGACGAGGAGAGGUACGGAGGGCCAAGGGGGAGAAGAAAGCAGAGUGGAGGCGACAAGGGGAAGAGACGAGGGGGCGAGGGGGAACUGAGAGCGGGACGAGGCGGCG
rnacentral:rRNA from 1 species